rnacentral:rRNA from 1 species
UACGUAGGGGGCAAGCGUUGUCCGGAAUCAUUGGGCGUAAAGAGCGUGUAGGCGGCUCGGUAAGUCCGCUGUCAAAGUCAAAGGCUCAACCUUUGAAUGUCAGUGGAUACUGCCGGGCUAGAGUCCGGAAGAGGCGAGUGGAACUCCUGGUGUAGCGGUGGAAUGCGCAGAUAUCAGGAAGAACACCCGUGGCUAAGGCGGCUCUCUAGUACGGUACUGACGCUGAGACGCGAAAGCGUGGGGAGCGAACAGG